GUCUGAACUCAAAUCAGGUAAGAUUACCCGCUGAAUUUAAGCAUAUUAAUAAGCGGAGGAAAAGAAACUAACAAGGAUUCCCUUAGUAACGGCGAGUGAAGCGGGAACAGCUCAAGCUUGAAAUCGGCACAUGGUUAAACUAGUGUCGAGUUGUAGCUUUUGGAAGCAGUUAUUUAUCCACAGACAGCAGUAAAAGUUCUUUUGAAUAAGACAUCAAAGAGGGUGAUAAUCCCGUCCUUGACUGUAGUCUAUGUGGUGAUACAUACUGUUUUCUGUGAGUCGGGUUGUUUGGGAAUGCAGCCCAAAUUGGGAGGUAAAUUUCUUCCAAAGCUAAAUAUUAGUAAGAGACCGAUAGCAAACAAGUACCGUGAGGGAAAGAUGAAAAGCACUUUGAAAAGAGAGUGAAAAGUACGUGAAAUUGUUGAAAGGGAAGCGAUUGGUAGCCAAGCAUUUCCUUUUGUUAGGGCGCUUUUGUGUCAGAGCAUUAGGAGGGUCAACAUCGAUUGCCGACUUUAUCUGCCAGAAGGGAAUAUUGGAGAGAAGGUAGGAAGACUAGUUCCUCUUGGUUCGCCAGGGGGGUUAAUAGCUAGUUUUUUGUUAUAGCUCACCAAGGAUUUGCUCUAGUGGUGGAGGCGAUCGAGGAUAGCAGUGCGUUUUCAGGUUCGAAUUUCAGUAUUCGCCUGGAUGGCUCGGUUGUUCUUAGCAGGAACGUUCUUAGCAAUAUUGUUUUGAAUUGUUUUGUAGCUGCAACCUGGAAGACAGCUUGCUGACUUUUGGGGGGCAACAGGCUAUCUGUUUUAGGAGCAAUUGAGACUAACAAGCACUUGGGAUGUUGGCGAAAAGGCACUAAUCGACCCGUCUUGAAACACGGACCAAGGAGUCCAACAUGCAUGCGAGUAUUUGGGAAAAAUUAAACCCACAUGCGCAAUGAAAGUGAAGUAGUAGAAACUUUUAUUAGAGUGUUACCCCUUACGGGGACAGCACCGACCGACCUUCGAUAGCGCUGCUUGAAGAGGUUGAGUAAGAGCAUGUAUGCUGGGACCCGAAAGAUGGUGAACUAUGCCUGAAUAGGGUGAAGUCAGAGGAAACUCUGAUGGAGGCUCGUAGCGAUUCUGACGUGCAAAUCGAUCGCCAAAUUUGGGUAUAGGGGCGAAAGACUAAUCGAACCAUCUAGUAGCUGGUUCCUGC
rnacentral:rRNA from 1 species